rnacentral:lncRNA from 1 species
GUAUAGGUCUAAUGCCGGAGAAAAGUAUAUGUAUACUCAUUUUGGGGAAAAUGAGUGAAACUUUGGGUUUUGAGGGGUAUUUUUUUAAAAAAAUCAGAAACCGAAGGUCAAAACGUAAUUUAGAAAAGUUACGCCAUGUCAGCUGUCUGGUUAGCAGCCCCGACCAACCAGGACGUGCCAGGUGGCAGAGACGCUGACGCGGGAGGCCAUGCGGGGGGAGCCACGUGGGUGAUCUAUGUGCGUGGAUCGAACGACUGAGAUUCGUUCCCGUGCGCACG